UACGUAGGUGGCAAGCGUUGUCCGGAAUUACUGGGCGUAAAGGGUGUGUAGGCGGAUAUUUAAGUAGAAAGUGAAAGGUUGGAGCUCAACUCCAACAUUGCUUCCUAUACUGGAUGUCUUGAGUUUCGGAGAGGAAGAUGGAACGACACGUGUAGCGGUGAAAUGCGUUGAUAUGUGUCGGAACACCAAUAGCGAAGGCAAUCUUCUGGACGAAUACUGACGCUGAGACACGAAAGCCAAGGUAGCGAACAGG
rnacentral:rRNA from 1 species